GGUGUCAAUGGGUCAAUGGGGGUCAAUGCGCGGUGGGGGGGUCAAUGGGGGGUAAUAAAGGAUGUGCCCCCCCCCCCACUACCCGCUGAGCAACCCCCAGCACCAGGUUGAGCAUAAAGAAGGAGCCGAUGAUGAUGAGGGGGAUGAAGUAUAGCCAGUUCCAGGUGUUUCCUGAGGCAUCGUUGGUCUGGAGGGGGCGGUUAUAGGGUCGUUAUGGGGGUCAGUUAUGGGUCGGUUUAUAGGGUCAGCUAUGGGGUCAGUUAUGGGGUCGGUUAUAGGGUCAGCUAUGGGGUCAGUUAUGGCGGGUCGGUUUAUGCGGGUCGGUUUAUAAAGGGGGGGGGUCGGUUAUGUAGGGUCAGAUUUAUGGGUUCAGUUAUAGGGGUCAGUUAUGGGUCGGUAUUAUGGGUCGGCUAUGGCGUCAGCUAUGGGGGUCGGCUAUGGUUGGCUAUGGGUCAUCUAUGGGUCAGCUAUGGGGUCGGCUAUGGGGUCAGCUAUGGGUCAGCUAUGGGGUCGGCUAUGGGGCAGCUGUGGGUCAGCUAUGGGGUCGGCUAUGGGGUCAGCUAUGGGUUCAAGCUAUGGGGUCAGCUAUGGGUCAGCUAUGGGGUCGGCUAUGGGGUCAGCUAUGGGGUCGCUAUGGGGUCAGCUAUGAGGUCAGCUAUAGGGGCAGCUAUGCUCAUCUAUGGGCACCUAUGGGUUCAGGCUCAUCUAUUGGGGUUUUCCUAUGGGGUUUCUAUUGGGGCAGCUAAUGGGUCAGGCAUCACAAUAGUACAAGCAGUCUGUCCACCCCUCCAUAGUGAUGCACUGGAACACGGUGAGCUAUGGGCUGGUUAUGGGGCAGCUAUGGCUCAUCUAUGGGGUUUCUAUGGGGUUCCUAUGGGCAGCUAUGGGUCAGCGGCUCACAUAGUACAGCAGGUCAGUCCACCCCUCCAUAGUGAUGCACUGAAACACCGUCAGCAUGGCUAUGGCUCAUCUAUGGGGCAGGGCUCAUCUAUGGGGUUCCUAUGGGGUUCCUAUGGGGUUUCUAUGGGGCAGCUAUGGGUCAGGGCUCAUCUAUGGUGGUGUCUUCUAUGGGGCAGCUAUGGGUCAGGCUCAAUCUAUGGGGUUUCUAUGGGGCAGCUAUGGGUCAGGGCUCAUCUAUGGGGUUCCUAUGGGGUUUCUAUGGGGCAGCUAUGGGUCAGGGCUCAUCUAUGGGGUUCCUAUGGGGUUUCUAUGGGGCAGCUAUGGGUCAGGGCUCAUCUAUGGGGUUCCAUAUUGGUUUCUUAUGGCAAGCUAUGGGUCAGGCUCAUCUAUGGGGUUUCCUAUGGCAGCUAUGGGG
rnacentral:lncRNA from 1 species